rnacentral:rRNA from 1 species
UACAGAGGGGGCAAGCGUUGUUCGGAAUUACUGGGCGUAAAGGGCGCGUAGGUGGCCUUCUAAGUUGAACGUGAAAUCCCUGGGCUCAACCCAGGAACUGCGUCCAAGACUGGGAGGCUUGAAUCCGGGAGAGGGAUGCGGAAUUCCAGGUGUAGCGGUGAAAUGCGUAGAUAUCAAGCGGAACACCGGUGGCGAAGGCGGCCUUCUGGACAGUGACUGACGCUGAGACGCGAAAGCGUGGGGAGCAAACAGG